AGUGAACGCUGGCGGUAGGCCUAACACAUGCAAGUCGAACGGCAGCACAAUAAGAGCUUGCUCUUACGGGUGGCGAGUGGCGGACGGGUGAGGAAUACAGCGGAAUCUACUUUUUCGUGGGGGAUAACGUAGGGAAACUUACGCUAAUACCGUAUACGACCUACGGGUGAAAGCAGGGGAUCUUCGGACCUUGCGCGAUUGAAUGAGCCGAUGUCGGAUUAGCUAGUUGGCGGGGUAAAGGCCCACCAAGGCGACGAUCCGUAGCUGGUCUGAGAGGAUGAUCCGCCAACCUGGAACGGGGACACGGUCCAAACUCCUACGGGAGGCAGCAGUGGGGAAUAAUGGACAAUGGGCGCAAGCCUGAUCCAGCCAUACCGCGUGGGUGAAGAAGGCCUUCGGGUUGUAAAGCCCUUUUGUUGGGAAAGAAAAGCAGCAGGUUAAUACCCCGCUGUUCUGACGGUACCCAAAGAAUAAGCACCGGCUAACUUCGUG
rnacentral:rRNA from 1 species